ACCUGUGGAAUACACACAAACCUUGUUUAUAAUACUCAGAAAAAUUGAUGAUUGUACACGACUACUACUCUGAAACCGGUCUACAUAAAACUACGUUUCACAUCAAACACACAAAUAAUUUGGUUCUCAUGUUAUGAGAAGGAGUAAAUAACACUUCCAUCGUUACUUUCUCCAAUAUGCCAUGUUGCAUUUUCAUUCUGUAUCUUUUUCGGAAGAAUAUUUUCGGUAUUGGGAAGAAAAACAGGACCCUCUUAGGUGAAAAGAAUGGCUGUCUGAUUAAGAGACAGAACUGGGAGUCAGGCAAUCUGGGUUCUAUCUUCAUCCUCUGUGAUCAUGGGACCUAAACACACAACAAUAUGUAUCUUUUUCCUGGGACUCUUAAAUUUUCUCUCCUGGACUUACCUCCUCCAAAAGGUGCCCAUAUAACCCUGCGAAUGGAUUUCACCCAGUCCUCCAUGUCAUUCUGUGUG